CCUAUCCACAAAAUCCGAAAAUGACUGUCUUGAAGCUUCAUGGCCAACUGAAAUCGUGAUUGGACAAUGUAAGGUCAUAGCUGCAAGAUACUCUAACGAGUCUCAAGACUUUAGAGUGAACAACUAUAACUGCACCACGAGCUCUGUAUCCUCAGCCCUGAGCAACACCAAAGACAGCCCUGUGCUCCUGGAAUACCUUGGAGAGUCCGAGGUUCACAGACAACAAGCCCAUAACGCCCUGGAAAAGUACAAAGGGGAGAACGAUGGCUUUGACUCUUUCCGAGUGGACCGAGUAGAGAGGGUUAUAAAAGCGAGAGGAGGGGAAAGACC